rnacentral:snoRNA from 1 species
ACGACCUUACUUGAACAGGAUCUGUUCUAUAGUAUUCGUACCUCUGUAUCUUUGAGUUCUAAAGAGACAGAAAACCAAAUUUGGUGGAUGAAUUAUAGAUGAUCGUUCCUCAGUUUCCCAUGAACUUGAGGAAGAUCACACGGUUGUCUGACAGACU